GUAUUGGAGGUUCAGUGGUAGAAUUCAUCUUCCAUGUGGGAGACCUGGGUUCGAUUCCUAGCCAGUGCA
rnacentral:tRNA from 1 species